rnacentral:tmRNA from 1 species
GUCGAGGAGCUGUUAAAACAAUACAUAACCUAUGGUUGUAGACAAAUAUGUUAGCAGAUGUUUGGACGUGGGUUCGACUCCCACCGGCUCCAUUA